AGUGAACGCUGGCGGUAGGCCUAACACAUGCAAGUCGAACGGCAGCACAGUAAGAGCUUGCUAUUACGGGUGGCGAGUGGCGGACGGGUGAGGAAUACAUCGGAAUCUACUUUUUCGUGGGGGAUAACGUAGGGAAACUUACGCUAAUACCGCAUACGACCUACGGGUGAAAGCAGGGGAUCUUCGGACCUUGCGCGAUUGAAUGAGCCGAUGUCGGAUUAGCUAGUUGGCGGGGUAAAGGCCCACCAAGGCGACGAUCCGUAGCUGGUCUGAGAGGAUGGUCGGCGACACUGGAACUGAGACACGGUCCAGACUCCUACGGGAGGCAGCAGUGGGGAAUAUUAGACAAUGGGCGCAAGCCUGACCCAGCCAUACCGCGUGGGUGAAGAAGGCCUUCGGGGUGUAAAGCCCUUUUGUUGGGAAAGAACAGCAGUAGGUUAAUACCCCGCUGUUCUGACGGUACCCAAAGAAUAAGCACCGGCUAACUUCGUG
rnacentral:rRNA from 1 species